AUGGGGUGAGCUGUUCAAGCAGACGUGGUCCUGGCCUCUCUUUAAGCUUAUAGUUUAGCAGGACACGUUCUAAACUGAUAUCGUUGUAGGAAGGGAAAUCUCUGGGUCCUGGCCCAUCCCUGGGGUAACCGCUAGAGCCUUCCAAGGGGAGUUCGGAGGAAGACACCGGAUCUCCGAGGGCCAAGGCCUGGGGAGGAGCCAAAACUUCUAGAGCUUCCGGGAAGGAUGUUCCGCAUAGGCUUGGCUUGUCUUCCCGGCAGGGAAAACCCAGAAGGACCCGGGCGGGCGGAGACUGCGGGCACCAAUGGCCGGGCCCGCACCGCCCUCCUCCGGAAACUCCCUGGGGAUUGGCUGUCUGCACCCACCUGCCGUCCACUCCUUGUUCCCCGCUCCUGUCCGGAGGCUUCCUGGGGAUUGGCUGCCCACCCCGCGGCCCUCCUCCCGCCCCGCCCCGUCUGCCGUGUCUGCGCCGCACGCCAGUCACCGGCCUCAGUUUCGCAGUUGAGCGGGCGCAGCCGCCGCUACUUUGUAGCGGGUUCGGGGCCCGACCCCGGCUGCGGCAGUAAGAGCGGAUCUCGGACCCACUGUGGGCCUGGGAGUUUGUCUCCGACGUCUGCGGUGCAGCGGCCUGAGUUCUAAGCGCAGGUUGAAAACUACAGAUACAAGCCAUUGAAGCUGGAAUGCACUGAUGCUGGUAUUUUAACUGACUUACACCAAUUAUCACUCUGCAGUUCUUAUACGCAAGUGCCUCUAAUGAAGUCAGCUAGCCUCACAUACAUAAUAUGGAGCAGCCACGUGUCUGCACUGGCACAUGUGUUAGUGCAGUGGGGUAAUGCUGCUGGUGAGAAGGCAGUGUAGCAUGUGCUUUAUUUUCAUCUUUUCAGUUAGAUUCUCACGACUCUAUGAAGUUGAUACACAGUUGACCCUUAAGGAACAUGGGUUUGAACUUUGUCGGUCCACUUAUACACGGAUAUUUUUCUAUAGUAAAUACUUCAGUACUAUACUGUC